rnacentral:rRNA from 1 species
GAUGAACGCUGGCGGCGUGCUUAACACAUGCAAGUCGAACGAAGCAUUUGCGACAGAUUUUUUCGGAAUGAAGUUGCUUAUGACUGAGUGGCGGACGGGUGAGUAACGCGUGGGUAACCUGCCUUGUACUGGGGGAUAGCAUCUGGAAACGGCUGGUAAUACCGCAUAAGCGCACAAUGUUGCAUGCCAUGGUGUGAAAAACUCCGGUGGUAUAAGAUGGACCCGCGUCUGAUUAGCUAGUUGGUGAGAUAACAGCCCACCAAGGCGACGAUCAGUAGCCGACCUGAGAGGGUGACCGGCCACAUUGGGACUGAGACACGGCCCAGACUCCUACGGGAGGCAGCAGUGGGGAAUAUUGCACAAUGGAGGAAACUCUGAUGCAGCGACGCCGCGUGAGUGAAGAAGUAAUUCGUUAUGUAAAGCUCUAUCAGCAGGGAAGAUAGUGACGGUACCUGACUAAGAAGCUCCGGCUAAAUACGUG